rnacentral:rRNA from 1 species
GAAGCCACGGCUAACUACGUGCCAGCAGCCGCGGUAAUACGUAGGUGGCAAGCGUUGUCCGGAAUUACUGGGCGUAAAGAAUGCGUAGGUGGUUUUUUAAGUGGGAUGUGAAAUCCCUGGGCUCAACCCAGGAACUGCAUUCCAAACUGGAUAACUAGAGUGCGGGAGAGGAAAAUGGAAUUCCCAGUGUAGCGGUGAAAUGCGUAGAGAUUGGGAGGAACACCAGUGGCGAAGGCGAUUUUCUGGAACGUAACUGACGCUGAGGCAUGAAAGCGUGGGGAGCAAACAGGAUUAGAUACCCUGGUAGUCCACGCCGUAAACGAUGAGUACUAGGUGUAGG